rnacentral:lncRNA from 1 species
GGUUUUCUAAGUCAAUAUGCAGCAGGAUAUGCAAGGAUCCUUACUGUUAGUGGCCCUAUUUCUAUUUGAGUUUACCACCAUUGUUAUGGAGGAAAGUCUGCUGGGUUUGGAGUCAGGAGACUUUGACAUUGGAAGUCUAACCCUGGCACUCUGGCAUAUACUUGUGGGGCUUUAGCCCUCAUCUGAUUUCUGAGCAAAACAAGCAGAACCGGGAAUACAUUGUACACAGUAACAGUGAGAUUGUGUGAUGAUCAACUAUGAAAACAGUUCAGUGAUCCAAGGGAAUCCCAGUAAACUUCGCAUAGAAAAUACCAUCUGCAUCCAGAAAGAACUACAGAGAUUGAAUGGAUAUGAUUUUCCUUUGAGUACUGCUUUAGUUACAUCCCAGAAAUUUCGAUACUGUAUUUCGAGCAUAGAAGUUUAAUACUGAUAUUGGUUUGUUGUUGAUUCCUACCAUCAUCAGGAAGUCAGGACAUCCAGGAGGUGGAAGUAAGGAGGGAGAACAUUCCAGCCACCUGGGAACACCAGUGAAAAUGGCCACAGUUGGAAGAUACGGAGCAUUCUGGAUGAAGGACUGCAACACUGGAUUGUCAGGUAUCCGGGAUCAGAGGAACAGGACCGGCACCACCAGCUUAACCACCUCAAUGUGACUCCCCAAGAAAAGGUAAAGUCAUCCCUGGAUGUGUGACCUGGUCAGACAUGCACUUUAAGAAGAUCACUUUGGAAGCUGAAUAGAGGAUGACAAAGAAAACUGGAGUUCCAGAAGGAAAUUAUAGCCAGCUAAAUAAACCUGAGAAUCAUCUGUAUAGUGAAAAUAGUUGAACCACUGGAGACUGGAAUCAAAAAGUGAGUAGUAUAGAUGGUAAAGAGAUGAGAAACCCACAAGAGAUGCUUGGGGGAUACUAAGUUAGUGGUAUGACGUUUUUGAAGAUGCAGCAAAGGAAAUGGAGAAGGAACCUUUCCGAUAGAUGGGAAGAGAACCAGGAGUGAACAAUGGCAUGAAAAUUCUGAGAGGUUGAUGGUAUUCAGAAAAAUUACCCCAAUUCUCAAAGAUAGUCCUGAAGUGUGGAGAAAAUGUCUAAGAAUUCUAGACUUUCAAGCCUCCAAAGUGAAGCAUGGGGCUUGUGUAUUCUUGAACUCUAAGACUCUGAGUUGAAGCCUCACUUCCCUUCUAAUCUUGGCUGCAUUGGUUUUAUCUGUACAACAUUUUAAAAAUUUAAUAGAAUCAAAAUGAUCCAUUUUACAUUUCAUAAUGUUCUCCUAGUUCUUUUUUGGCCAUAAAUCCCUUCCUUCCCCACAGAUCUGAGGUAGACUAUCCAUUUUGGCCUCCAGGUCUCCAGAGCCUCAUGUCUAAAUGUCAUGAGGCUUCUAUAAAUUUUGGGAUUUCAGAAGACUUCAAGACUUUAGGCCUAAGUCUUGAAGUUUUUAAUCCUCUAGAAUUCUUAGAUUCGAUGUUUCUAUGUUUCUAGUGUUUCAGGCUUUCCCACAUAGGUCUCAAGGGUGCUAGUCUUGUAGGCCUUCAGGUUUCCCAGGUAUCCAAGUGUAAAUCUCCAUCAUGAGCUUCUAUGUCUUGAAAUCUUUUGAACUUUAAGUCUAUGUCCAUCAGUUAACCAAUAAGCUUUUGUUCAAUUCAUUCUGUAUGACAAACUCUGCUAGGUGCCAGGGAAACAAGAGCUGAUCAAUUGGAAAAGAGAACAGGUAAUUUUGUCAAUUUAUACAUACAGGACAUGGAGACAUAGGACAAAGACAGUAGGCAAUGCAAAUAUAGGUAAAAAGAAAAAUGAGAAGGUAUCUGUUUAGGAGAAUGGGAGAACAGUAUGGAGACUCCAGAAUAAGACUGGGAGGAGUGUAAGAGUAAAUAUGACUAGCCUUGACACUUCUUUAAAAUGGAGGUUCUAGAAGGAGCUCACCAAUUGGAGCAAAGUAGAGAUGAGAAGGCAGCAGGAGUAGAAGCAUUUUCAAGGGUAAAAAGGCCCCUGGGGCAUGAUGGGGAAAAUCUGGAGAAUAAGGAGUGGAGCUAAAAAGGGGGAGAAGAACAGGAAAGAGAAACUUAGAGAAAUAGGAGUACAUGGAUGGAGAUACUAGGACAGGAAGGAGGAGCAUAUAGGGACAUUGAUAAAUGAGGAACAACCAGCUGGGAAGAUUUAAACAAAAAGCAAAACCAACAGCAUAGGUAGGUGGAAAGACACUUGGGGGGGGAACCCAUAUAGACUGAGGAAUAUAUAGAAAUUGAAGAUCUACGCUUAGGAAAGCAUGAAGGAGAAAGUUACACAGCUGGAGGUACUACUUGUAGGUAGCUUCAGGGCCCCGUGGAUAGUUAGAGGACAAGACAGGCAAUAUAUGGGGAGAUACCAAAUAUGUAUAUGGGAAUACAUAAAUCAGACAGUCAAAAGACAUACCAGGACACAAUGGCAGAAAAGACAGAUAUGGACACAGAAUAAUAUAGGGAGUAAUUAUAGUUAGGGGAAGCACAUGGAUAUGGGAAAAUACACAUGAGGGGCAGGUACAUAGUUGUGGCUAUCUGUGGAAAACCUAAGGACCCCAUGAAUCACCAAGAGGUGAACAUGCAGCCAAAGGAAAAUAUAUAGAGGACACAAAAUAUGAGGGCCACAUCACUUAGUGUCAGGCAAUUUCCCACCCUUCUCUCACUUCUUACAUGUAAAGAGGGAAAUGGAAAUAAGGAGAGAAAAAGGUACAUGACGGGAGGAAGAAAAGAAAUAUAUAACAUUUAUAGCCAUGAAUGUGAGUGAGAUGAACUCCUUCUAUAAAAUGAAGAAGAGAAUAAAUUAGAAAAUAAAAUACCCAACAAUGUUUAAAAUAAAAAACCUGAAAUACCAAGAUUCACAGAUAGUUGAAAUGAAAGGCUUGAGCAAGAUCUAUUUUGCUUCAACUGAAUUAAAAACAAAGAUAGUGGUGAAAAAUUGGAACAAGAGGUUUGGCGAUUGUUGAUGCUGUGGAGUUACCCAUGUAUAAAUCCUGUAAAUAAAAGGCUAUUAAAUUAAAAAAAAAUAAAUAAAAAAACAAACAAAAAAAAAAAACAAAGAUAGUGAUUAUGAUUUCAGAUAAGAUUACAGUAAACAGGCAUAAUAAAGAAAUGAGCUGAGAAAUUAUAUUAUGUCAAAGACAACGUGGAUAAAUUCUACACACACAUCCACCCCUAAUAACAUUG